rnacentral:rRNA from 1 species
UACGGGGGGGGCAAGCGUUGUUCGGAAUUACUGGGCGUAAAGGGCUCGUAGGCGGCCAACUAAGUCAGACGUGAAAUCCCUCGGCUUAACCGGGGAACUGCGUCUGAUACUGGAUGGCUUGAGUUUGGGAGAGGGAUGCGGAAUUCCAGGUGUAGCGGUGAAAUGCGUAGAUAUCUGGAGGAACACCGGUGGCGAUGGCGGCAUCCUGGACCAACACUGACGCUGAGUGAGCGAAAGCCAGGGGAGCAAACGGG